UAGAGUUUGAUCCUGGCUCAGAUUGAACGCUAGCGGGAUGCCUUACACAUGCAAGUCGAACGGCAGCACGGACUUCGGUCUGGUGGCGAGUGGCGAACGGGUGAGUAAUGUAUCGGAACGUGCCUAGUAGCGGGGGAUAACUACGCGAAAGCGUAGCUAAUACCGCAUACGCCCUACGGGGGAAAGCAGGGGAUCGCAAGACCUUGCACUAUUAGAGCGGCCGAUAUCGGAUUAGCUAGUUGGUGGGGUAAUGGCUCACCAAGGCGACGAUCCGUAGCUGGUUUGAGAGGACGACCAGCCACACUGGGACUGAGACACGGCCCAGACUCCUACGGGAGGCAGCAGUGGGGAAUUUUGGACAAUGGGGGAAACCCUGAUCCAGCCAUCCCGCGUGUGCGAUGAAGGCCUUCGGGUUGUAAAGCACUUUUGGCAGGAAAGAAACGUCAUGGGCUAAUACCCCGUGAAACUGACGGUACCUGCAGAAUAAGCACCGGCUAACUACGUGCCAGCAGCCGCGGUAAUUC
rnacentral:rRNA from 1 species